CAGUCGCCACGGGAAUACGUAGGUGGCAAGCGUUGUCCGAAGUUACUGGGCGUAAAGAGCGUGUAGGCGGGUCUUUAAGUGAGGGGUGAAAGGUUCAGGGCUCAACCCGGACACUGCCUUUCAUACUGGAGACCUUGAGUGUGGGAGAGGCGAGUGGAAUGGUCGGUGUAGCGGUGAAAUGCGUAGAUAUCGAUCGGAACACCCAUGGCGAAGGCAGCUCGCUGGCCUAUAACUGACGCUGAGGCGCGAAAGCGUGGGGAGCAAACAGGAUUAGAUACCCGCGUAGUCCCUGUCUCUUAUA
rnacentral:rRNA from 1 species